rnacentral:rRNA from 1 species
CACGUAGGGUGCGAGCGUUGUCCGGAAUUAUUGGGCGUAAAGAGCUCGUAGGCGGUGUGUCGCGUCGGCCGUGAAAACCUGCAGCUUAACUGUGGGCUUGCGGUCGAUACGGGCAUCACUGGAGUUCGGCAGGGGAGACUGGAAUUCCCGGUGUAGCGGUGAAAUGCGCAGAUAUCGGGAAGGAACACCGGUGGCGAAGGCGGUUCUCUGGGCCUUACCUGACGCUGAGGAGCGAAAGCGUGGGGAGCGAACAGG